rnacentral:rRNA from 1 species
ACUGCUCAGUAACACGUGGACAACCUGCCCUUAGGUUGGGUAUAAACCCGGGAAACUGGGUAUAAUACCCGAUAGGUCUCGAUUGCUGGAAUGCAUCGAGAUUUAAAGCUCCGGCGCCUAAGGAUGGGUCUGCGGCCUAUCAGGUAGUAGUGGGUGUAGCGUACCUACUAGCCUACGACGGGUACGGGUUGUGAGAGCAAGAGCCCGGAGAUGGAUUCUGAGACACGAAUCCAGGCCCUACGGGGUGCAGCAGGCGCGAAAACUUUACAAUGCUGGCAACAGCGAUAAGGGAACCUCGAGUGCCAGGUUACAAAUCUGGCUGUCGAGAUGCCUAAAAAGCAUUUCAUAGCAAGGGCCGGGCAAGACCGGUGCCAGCCGCCGCGGUAACACCGGCGGCUCGAGUGGUAACCGUUAUUAUUGGGUCUAAAGGGUCUGCAGCCGGCCGGAUAAGUCUCUUGAGAAAUCUGGCAGCUUAACUGUCAGGCUUUCAGGAGAUACUGUCUGGCUCGAGGCCGGGAGAGGUGAGAGGUACUUCAGGGGUAGGGGUGAAAUCUUGUAAUCCUUGAAGGACCACCAGUGGCGAAGGCGUCUCACCAGAACGGACCUGACGGCCAGGGACGAAAGCUAGGGGCACGAACCGGAUUAGAUACCCGGGUAGUCCUAGCCGUAAACGAUACUCGCUAGGUGUCGGCCACGGUGCGACCGUUGUCGGUGCCGUAGGGAAGCCGUGAAGCGAGCCACCUGGGAAGUACGGCCGCAAGGCUGAAACUUAAAGGAAUUGGCGGGGGAGCAC